rnacentral:rRNA from 1 species
UACGGAGGGGGCAAGCGUUACUCGGAAUUAUUGGGCGUAAAGGGCGCGUAGGCGGCCGAUCAAGUCAGAUGUGAAAGUCCUGGGCUUAACCUGGGGACUGCAUUUGAUACUGAUUGGCUUGAAUUCGGGAGAGGAUAGCGGAAUUCCCAGUGUAGAGGUGAAAUUCGUAGAUAUUGGGAAGAACACCGGUGGCGAAGGCGGCUAUCUGGACCGACAUUGACGCUGAUGCGCGAAAGCGUGGGGAGCAAACAGG